rnacentral:rRNA from 1 species
GACGAACGCUGGCGGCGUGCUUAACACAUGCAAGUCGAACGGAAAGGCCCUGCUUUUGUGGGGUUCUCGAGUGGCGAACGGGUGAGUAACACGUGAGUAACCUGCCCUUGACUUUGGGAUAACUUCAGGAAACUGGGGCUAAUACCGGAUAGGAGCUCCUGCUGCGUGGUGGGGGUUGGAAAGUUUCGGCGGUUGGGGAUGGACUCGCGGCUUAUCAGCUUGUUGGUGGGGUAGUGGCUUACCAAGGCUUUGACGGGUAGCCGGCCUGAGAGGGUGACCGGCCACAUUGGGACUGAGAUACGGACCAGACUCCUACGGGAGGCAGCAGUGGGGAAUAUUGCACAAUGGGCGGAAGCCUGAUGCAGCAACGCCGCGUGCGGGAUGACGGCCUUCGGGUUGUAAACCGCUUUCGCCUGUGACGAAGCGUGAGUGACGGUAAUGGGUAAAGAAGCACCGGCUAACUACGUG